AGAUUAUUGAAGUUGAAUCGGGUCUCGGUCCAUAUGAGAUUGAAUAUGAUGAAGAGUGGCUAUCAAUCACCCAUGGAAAGGGAGUGGUUUAGCUGGAAUGAGGCAAAGGGAGUGGGUUGGCCUUUUGUUUUUUUGUUAAAUGUUAAUCGUAACUGAAAGGAAAAAAAAUCAAAAUUUAAUUUUGAUUUAUUUGAUGUCUCGUGUCUUGCAGGUUCAUGGUGGUCAGCAGUCCAUGGUUGAUGAAAGCGAAUAGCUUUAGAGUUAGAAGAGGAAAAGAAAGCUCAAGCUGAAAGAGAUAAGAUGCUGCAAAUGCAAGUGUUGCAUUCUUCAUUUCAAUUGUUAGUAUGAAACACAUAGUAGAUUAGAUGAAUGUAAAUUUAUAUAUUGUAAGAAAUAGAAUUGUAUGACACUAAAUUUUAUGCAAUGGAUUGUAUUUUUUUUAUAUGGUAUU